AUGACGUGUGCUUCUUUUUUUGAAGCUGAACUUAUUGUCCUUCUCUUCCCGACUUUUGAUCCGCCGUCCUUUGUGGCUACCAUGAAGCCUAGCGAAGAAUCUGGGCAUUGGUGCUUGAUUGUUAUGAAUUUGAGGUUCUGUCGUUUUGAGUGUCUUGAUUCACUGCGCGAUGAAACCUGGAGUGAUGCAGUUAGAUUCUUAAGGACUAUGAUAGAUAACAUAAAGAAGCUUUGGAGGGAGUCCAGCGUAGACAGGGCCAAACCGUUCUCGCCGGUGCAUAUUGAUGGUUUCUCUUGCGAGUUUGUGCGGGUGCCGCAAUAG
rnacentral:rRNA from 1 species